GAUGAACGCUGGCGGCGUGCCUAAUACAUGCAAGUCGAGCGAACGGACGAGAAGCUUGCUUCUCUGAUGUUAGCGGCGGACGGGUGAGUAACACGUGGAUAACCUACCUAUAAGACUGGGAUAACUUCGGGAAACCGGAGCUAAUACCGGAUAAUAUUUUGAACCGCAUGGUUCAAAAGUGAAAGACGGUCUUGCUGUCACUUAUAGAUGGAUCCGCGCUGCAUUAGCUAGUUGGUAAGGUAACGGCUUACCAAGGCAACGAUGCAUAGCCGACCUGAGAGGGUGAUCGGCCACACGGGACCUGAGACACGGUCCAGACUCCUACGGGAGGCAGCAGUAGGGAAUCUUCCGCAAUGGGCGAAAGCCUGACGGAGCAACGCCGCGUGAGUGAUGAAGGUCUUCGGAUCGUAAAACUCUGUUAUUAGGGAAGAACAUAUGUGUAAGUAACUGUGCACAUCUUGACGGUACCUAAUCAGAAAGCCACGGCUAACUACGU
rnacentral:rRNA from 1 species